GCACGGGUAGCAAUACCUGGUGGCGACCGGCGUAAGGGUGCGUAACGUUGAGCUAAAUGCUCUAUACAGGCGAAUUAUCCCCGGAAACUUGGUUUGUGCCCCAUAGCUAUAAGAUAAGGCAUCUUAUUUUAUUUAAAGCUUUCGGUGGUAUAGGAUUGGCUCGCGUGACAUUUAGCUGGAUGGUGGGGGAACGGCCCCACCAUGGCGAUGAUGUCCUAGGGGUUCUGAGAGGAAGCCCCCCCACACUGGACUGAGACACGGACCCAGACUCCUACGGGGAGGCAGCAGUGAGGAAUAUUGGACAAUGGAUGGAAAUCUGAUCCAGCCAUGCCGCGUGCAGGAAGACGGCCCUAUGGUUUGUAAACUGCUUUUUCUACGGGAGCAAUAAGGUCUACGUGUAGACUGAUGAGAGUACCGUAGGAAUAAGCAUCGGCUAACUCCGUGCCAGCAGCCGCGGUAAUACGGAGGAUGCGAGCGUUAUCCGGAUUUAUUGGGUUUAAAGGGUGCGUAGGCGGCUUUUUAAGUCAGCGGUGAAAUUUUGCAGCUUAACUGUAACAGUGCCGUUAAUACUGGGGAGCUAGGAUUUGGUUGCUGUGGGUGGAAUGUGUGGUGUAGCGGUGAAAUGCUUAGAGAUCACACAGAAUAUCGAUUGCGAAGCCAGCUCACAAAGCCAAGAUUGACGCUGAGGCACGAAAGUGUGGGGAUCAAACAGGAUUAGAUACCCUGGUAGUCCACACUGUAAACGAUGAUAACUCGCUGUCGGCGAUACACAGUCGGUGGCCAAGCGAAA
rnacentral:rRNA from 1 species